rnacentral:lncRNA from 1 species
GGGAGCUUCUAGGUGAGUGGGCCUAUCCAAGUUCUGAGGGGGUGACACAGCCCAGGUCCAAGGGGACGGAAGGCCCUGUGCGGGGACCCUGCCAGACCUCGCCUUCCGUAUCUCUCUGUCUGGCUGCUGUCUGUAUCCUAAUAAGCUGUUAAAGGUGUUCCCCUGAGUUCUGGGAGCCACUCUAGCAAAUCAGUGCAACCAGAGCAAGCGGUCAUGGGAACCUCUGAUCUACAGCUGGUGUGUUCAACGCUGGCGACAACCCGGACUCGCCACCGGCAAGGGAACGGGGCUGAGCGCGUCCUGUGGGAUCUGAGGCUCCCUCCAGGGAUAUUAGCACAGGUCUAUAAUCUUCUUCAAAUGCUGGGACAGUGAACUGAGGUCUCACAACAGCUGCAUACGGAAGUUCCAGACCAGGGAUUGAUGUGAGCCAGAGCAGGAGCAAUGCCGGAUCCUUAACCCACUGCCCCCAUCAGGAAUCGAACUGGCCCGGCCACAGAGACAAGCCAGAUCCUCAAGCCACCGCGUCACAGCGGGGACGCCACAUCGCGCCGUUCUCCGUCAUCUCCCUCUCCCGCCACCUGAGGAACGCAGGCGUGAGGUUCUACCUGUGCUUCAGAGAGCGUCAUGGCCCCUGAGGCCUUGGUGCCCUGAGAAGAGCCUCCCUCCUCUACCCACCUGGGGAACAUGGAGUCAGCGUUAAAGAUCCGGUUCCGGUGUCCUCACUCCUGCGAAACCCGCCCUGAGGUUGCUCACGCAGUCCGGGGCGGCUGCGUCUGUGCUCCCAGGGCUCCUGGACACUGAGACCCAUGCACCCUCCUAGAAGAGAGUCAAGUACCACCGCCCCGUCAGUUACAUGGUCCUGCGCCUUCUCUGCCUCACUUCUCAUUGUAUUCUUGGCAUUUAACGCAGAGACUGUCACAUGGUUUGCUGAAAGUCACUAAAUGUUUAUCGAAAGGAGCACUGGCUUAGAUGCUGCAUCUGUGAGCCACGCGCCAAAGGAGGUACACGCACUGUGAGAGGGCCUGCAGGUGCAAGAUGACAAAGUCUAACCGCACGCCCCGCACAGCAGCACUCAGGCACCCAGCCCUGCCUGCACACAACCUGUGUUAACCCUUCCACCCCCACAGGUUCUCCUUGUUCGCAGGCAGAUUCCAGAUACUGCAAAGUCAUCUUUAACCUGGUACCUGUCUUUCCCCUCUCAGACCUUAAUUUCCCUCCAGGAGCCCAUGAAGCUAAUACUCAUGUGUCUUUUUAAAACUUGAAUCACUUCCAAAGUUUUCAGGGCUUACUUUUCAAAGGACUUGCUGGUAGAGCUGCAACUCACUGUGCAUUUCUCAUAGUUUGUCUUAAAUUGUAUUGCAACUUCUUGAAUGUGAUAGAUGACCAGAUUUUGUUUCAAAAUUCAUAUAAGAGGUAUCUUAUAGAAUUCAUCAACAAAAAUAACACCAACAUAAAAGCUUUUAUUUAUUCAGCACUUCCUUCAGGGCCAGACACAGAUUCUCCUCUAUGUCCCUCCUGUACUUAACUCAUUUAAGUGCAAAACUAAUUCCAGUGAGAGCAAAUACUUUCUUACCCUCCUUUCGAGAUGUAUUUUGAUUCAGUAAGUGUACCCCCAUCUUGGCUCUGGGAUUUACCAGAAGGAUAAUAUGUAUGUUGUGUACGUUUAUUUUUCGGAUACAUCACAAAA